GUGUCAGCCGCCGCGGUAAUACGGAGGAUCCGAGCGUUAUCCGGAUUUAUUGGGUUUAAAGGGAGCGUAGGCGGAUGUUUAAGUCAGUUGUGAAAGUUUAAGGCUCAACCUUGAAAUUGCAGUUGAUACUGGACGUCUUGAGUGCAUUAAAUGUGGGCGGAAUUCGUGGUGUAGCGGUGAAAUGCUUAGAUAUCACGAAGAACUCCAAUUGCGAAGGCAGCUCACAGGACUGUAACUGACGCUGAUGCUCGAAAGUGUGGGUAUCAAACAGGAUUAGAUACCCUGGUAGUCCACACAGUAAACGAUGAAUACUCGCUGUUUGCGAUAUACAGUAAGCGGCCAAGCGAAAGCGUUAAGUAUUCCACCUGGGGAGUACGCCGGCAACGGUGAAACUCAAAGGAAUUGACGG
rnacentral:rRNA from 1 species